rnacentral:rRNA from 1 species
AACGUAGGGGGCGAGCGUUGUCCGGAAUGACUGGGCGUAAAGGGUGCGUAGGCGGCAUAAUAAGUUAGAAGUGAAAUACCCAGAGCUUAACUCGGGUGCUGCUUCUAAGACUGUUGAGCUUGAGUGCGGGAGAGGUUAAUGGAAUUCCUAGUGUAGCGGUGGAAUGCGUAGAUAUUAGGAGGAACACCAGAGGCGAAGGCGAUUAACUGGACCGUAACUGACGCUGAGGCACGAAAGUGUGGGUAGCAAAC